GCACAAGCGGUGGAUGAUGUGGAUUAAUUCGAUGCAACGCGAAAACCUUACCUACCCUUGACAUGUCCGGAAUCCCGAAGAGAUUUGGGAGUGCUCGCAAGAGAGCCGGAACACAGGUGCUGCAUGGCUGUCGUCAGCUCGUGUCGUGAGAUGUUGGGUUAAGUCCCGCAACGAGCGCAACCCUUGUCAUUAGUUGCCAUCAUUUGGUUGGGCACUCUAAUGAGACUGCCGGUGACAAACCGGAGGAAGGUGGGGAUGACGUCAAGUCCUCAUGGCCCUUAUGGGUAGGGCUUCACACGUCAUACAAUGGUCGGUACAGAGGGUUGCCAACCCGCGAGGGGGAGCUAAUCCCACAAAGCCGAUCGUAGUCCGGAUCGCAGUCUGCAACUCGACUGCGUGAAGUCGGAAUCGCUAGUAAUCGUGGAUCAGCAUGUCACGGUGAAUACGUUCCCGGGUCUU
rnacentral:rRNA from 1 species